rnacentral:rRNA from 1 species
AUGGCAAAAAAAAUAUGUAAAAAAUUUAUUUUAAUUUGCCAUGGCAAUUUUUACUAUAUUGACAUGGCAAAUUUAAUUAUAAUGCCAUGUCAAUUUCUUUUUAACCUCCUUUUUUCUGUGAGAUUUUUACUUUUUCUUCCGUGGCAAAUUUUACCUUUUUCACAUGGCAAAGUUACCUACAUUGCCACUGUAAUCUUUAGCUUUUGCAUACAUGUCAAUAUAAUCGCUAGUGGCAAUUUUUUUCAUGCCAAAUUAACUUUUAUGGGGCGAUGCCAAUUUACUCUAAUUUCCUUGCAUUUUUUUGCUUUACAUAUGAUCCAUGGAUUUUUUUUACUUUUUCAUCAUUCAUGGAACCACGGUAAAUUACCUUUAAGAAACAUGGCAAUUUCUCCCAAACUAUAUAUGGUACACUUUUUGUGUGUGUUUUACAUUUUUCUGCCACUACGUAAAGAUUCAAAUUUGCCAUUACUUCUUUUUUGCGCCAUUUGA